CCUACGGGGAGCUGCAGUGAGGAAUAUUGGUCAAUGGCCGAAAGGCUGAACCAGCCAAGUCGCGUGAGGGAAGACGGCCCUACGGGUUGUAAACCUCUUUUGUCGGGGAGCAAAGAGAGUCACGUGUGACUCCUUUAGAGUACCCGAAGAAAAAGCAUCGGCUAACUCCGUGCCAGCAGCCGCGGUAAUACGGAGGAUGCGAGCGUUAUCCGGAUUUAUUGGGUUUAAAGGGUGCGCAGGCGGAGGUGCAAGUCAGGGGGCAAAUUGCGGGGCUCAACCCCGUACUGCCGUUGAAACUGGAUGCAUUGAGUGCGCGAGAAGUAGGCGGAAUGCGUGGUGUAGCGGUGAAAUGCAUAGAUAUCACGCAGAACUCCGAUUGCGAAGGCAGCAGACCGGCGCGCAACUGACGCUCAUGCACGAAAGUGUGGGUAUCGAACAGGAUUAGAUACCCGUGUAGUC
rnacentral:rRNA from 1 species